rnacentral:tRNA from 1 species
GCGCUUGUAGUCUAACGGUAGGACCACAGCCUUCCAAGCUGUUGAUCCGGGUUCAAAUCCCGGCGGGCGCA